AUUGAACGCUGGCGGCAUGCUUUACACAUGUAAGUCGAACGGUAACAGGGUGCUUGCACCGCUGACGAGUGGCGAACGGGUGAGUAAUGCGUCGGAACGUGCCGAGUAGUGGGGGAUAACGCAGCGAAAGUUGUGCUAAUACCGCAUACGUACUGAGGUAGAAAGUGGGGGACCUUCGGGCCUCACGCUAUUCGAGCGGCCGACGUCUGAUUAGCUAGUAGGUGAGGUAAAGGCUCACCUAGGCGACGAUCAGUAGCGGGUCUGAGAGGAUGAUCCGCCACACUGGGACUGAGACACGGCCCAGACUCCUACGGGAGGCAGCAGUGGGGAAUUUUGGACAAUGGGCGAAAGCCUGAUCCAGCCAUGCCGCGUGUCUGAAGAAGGCCUUCGGGUUGUAAAGGACUUUUGUCGGGGAGGAAAUCCCCAGCGUUAAUACCGCUGGGGGAUGACAGUACCUGAAGAAUAAGCACCGGCUAACUACGUGCCAGCAGCCGCCGCAGUAA
rnacentral:rRNA from 1 species